rnacentral:rRNA from 1 species
GGCUCAGGAUGAACGCUAGCUACAGGCUUAACACAUGCAAGUCGAGGGGCAGCAUGGUCUUAGCUUGCUAAGGCCGAUGGCGACCGGCGCACGGGUGAGUAACACGUAUCCAACCUGCCGUCUACUCUUGGACAGCCUUCUGAAAGGAAGAUUAAUACAAGAUGGCAUCAUGAGUCCGCAUGUUCACAUGAUUAAAGGUAUUCCGGUAGACGAUGGGGAUGCGUUCCAUUAGAUAGUAGGCGGGGUAACGGCCCACCUAGUCUUCGAUGGAUAGGGGUUCUGAGAGGAAGGUCCCCCACAUUGGAACUGAGACACGGUCCAAACUCCUACGGGAGGCAGCAGUGAGGAAUAUUGGUCAAUGGACGAGAGUCUGAACCAGCCAAGUAGCGUGAAGGAUGACUGCCCUAUGGGUUGUAAACUUCUUUUAUACGGGAAUAAAGUUAGCCACGUGUGGUUUUUGUAUGUACCGUAUGAAUAAGGAUCGGCUAACUCCGUG